UUAAGUUAUUAAGGGCGCACGGUGGAUGCCUUGGCACUAGGAGCCGAAGAAGGACGUGACAAACGACGAUAUGCCUUGGGUAGCUGUAAGUAAGCGAUGAUCCAGGGAUUUCCGAAUGGGGGAACCCAACAGGUACUACCUGUUACCCGCAUCUGUUAAGGAUGUGAGGAGGAAGACGCAGUGAACUGAAACAUCUAAGUAGCUGCAGGAAGAGAAAGCAAAAGCGAUUGCCUUAGUAGCGGCGAGCGAAACGGCAGGAGGGCAAACCGAAGAGUUUACUCUUCGGGGUUGUAGGACUGCAAUGUGGACUCAAAGAUUAUAGAAGAAUGAUUUGGGAAGAUCAGCCAAAGAGAGUAAUAGCCUCGUAUUUAAAAUAGUCUUUGUACCUAGCAGUAUCCUGAGUACGGCGGGACACGUGAAAUCCCGUCGGAAUCUGGGAGGACCAUCUCCCAACCCUAAAUACUCCCUAGUGACCGAUAGUGAACCAGUACCGUGAGGGAAAGGUG
rnacentral:rRNA from 1 species